ACCGCCCGUCCACACCAUGAGAGUUGGGAAUACCCGAAGCCUGUGAGCUAACUUUAAGAGGCAGCAGUCGAAGGUAGAAUCAAUGAUUGGGGUGAAGUCGUAACAAGGUAGC
rnacentral:rRNA from 1 species